CCAAGAAAAGCCUCUAGCGAGGUGAGAGGUGCCCGUACCGCAAACCGACACAGGUAGGCGAGGAGAGAAUCCUAAGGUGAUCGAGAGAACUCUCGUUAAGGAACUCGGCAAAAUGACCCCGUAACUGCGGGAGAAGGGGUGCUCUGUUAGGGUGCAAGCCCGAGAGAGCCGCAGUGAAUAGGCCCAGGCGACUGUUUAGCAAAAACACAGGUCUCUGCGAAGCCGUAAGGCGAAGUAUAGGGGCUGACGCCUGCCCGGUGCUGGAAGGUUAAGAGGAGCGCUUAGCGUAAGCGAAGGUGCGAAUUGAAGCCCC
rnacentral:rRNA from 1 species